UUAUCUACUCCUUUAUAAAAGUUUGUAGACGUUCUCUAUUGACCCUUUUUCCUUCUUCUUCACCUGGGAACAUCGUUCUACAGCAAAUCAAUUCCCAAAACCUCUCCAAAUCCUCUAUUCUCCCUGCGAGCUAUCAAGAACAGCAAGAACAUCAACAAUAAUAGUUUGGCGUAUUCGACUGGUUCGAAGCGUCCAAUUGCUAUCAUGGGCUUGAUUCGAGGAUUUGAUGGUAGAGGAGAGCUUGUUGGUCAUUUCCGUCCAUUUGAUUUCAGGUAGUUAGCUUUUAAUUGGUGAAAUUGGACUUGCAAGCUGAAUUUUGGAGUUUCGUAUAUUUUCUUAAUUUUUUGAUCCAAUUCAUGUAGCUGAGCCUUUGUGGAGUGAAUUGGCUAAUUUUUUUCCUUCCAUUUUGUGGUUUUGGAACUACCCUUACUAGAAUCACAAGUUAGUUAUGCUGACUUUUGAGUAAUUGGAGUGUUUUAGUACUUUUAUUCUGAAAUUGAUGAUUUUGGGCCUCCUUUUCAUCAUCCAAAUCCUGCAGGUUGUGUUGGGGAGGAUUUGAUCAGUUUUUCUUAUAUAUCCUGGGGUGUUGGUGUUGUCCACGGCUAAUUGUUGAGAUAUGUUGGAAUUAAUUCCAUCUGUUGUAACUAAAAUGCAUGUUGUAACUUGUUGUCGACCUUCAUUGCUCUGGCUAAAUUUUUCUAUUUAGAUUUCUGGAUUUUUUGGGACUUCCACUUGAUUC
rnacentral:lncRNA from 1 species